AUCAGUGGUCAUACCUGCUUGACAAUACCCAAACCUGUCUGAUCUCUGAAGCUAAGCAAGGCUGGGCCUGGUUAGUACUAGGAUGGGAGACUGCUUUGAAUACCAGUGUCACACUGUCC
rnacentral:rRNA from 1 species